UAUGUGGUCGUAGACCCGAAACCAGGUGAUCUACCCUUGGUCAGGUUGAAGUUCAGGUAACACUGAAUGGAGGACCGAACCGACUUACGUUGAAAAGUGAGCGGAUGAACUGAGGGUAGCGGAGAAAUUCCAAUCGAACUUGGAGAUAGCUGGUUCUCUCCGAAAUAGCUUUAGGGCUAGCCUCAAGUGAUGAUUAUUGGAGGUAGAGCACUGUUUGGACGAGGGGCCCCUCUCGGGUUACCGAAUUCAGACAAACUCCGAAUGCCAAUUAAUUUAACUUGGGAGUCAGAACAUGGGUGAUAAGGUCCGUGUUCGAAAGGGAAACAGCCCAGACCACCAGCUAAGGUCCCAAAAUAUAUGUUAAGUGGAAAAGGAUGUGGCGUUGCCCAGACAACUAGGAUGUUGGCUUAGAAGCAGCCAUCAUUUAAAGAGUGCGUAAUAGCUCACUAGUCGAGUGACACUGCGCCGAAAAUGUACCGGGGCUAAACAUAUUACCGAAGCUGUGGAUUGUCCUUUGGACAAUGGUAGGAGAGCGUUCUAAGGGCGUCGAAGCAUGAUCGCAAGGACAUGUGGAGCGCUUAGAAGUGAGAAUGCCGGUGUGAGUAGCGAAAGACGGGUGAGAAUCCCGUCCACCGAUUGACUAAGGUUUCCAGAGGAAGGCUCGUCCGCUCUGGGUUAGUCGGGUCCUAAGCUGAGGCCGACAGGCGUAGGCGAUGGAUAACAGGUUGAUAUUCCUGUACCAACUAGUAUCGUUUUAAUCGAUGGGUGG
rnacentral:rRNA from 1 species